rnacentral:ribozyme from 1 species
UAGAAAUGCAGCACUGGUACGGGUACGGAUCCGACGCCUCUCGUAGGAUACUUAGGCUCUCCGUACCCUACUCCUACU